CCCAAGAGAUCGGGAUAACACCUGGAAACAGAUGCUAAUACCGGAUAACAACAGAUGAUGCCUAUCAACUGUUUAAAAGAUGGUUCUGCUAUCACUCUUGGAUGGACCUGCGGUGCAUUAGCUAGUUGGUAGGGUAACGGCCUACCAAGGCGAUGAUGCAUAGCCGAGUUGAGAGACUGAUCGGCCACAUUGGGACUGAGACACGGGCCCAAACUCCUACGGGAGGCAGCAGCA
rnacentral:rRNA from 1 species